UGGGGAAUUUUGGACAAUGGGCGAAAGCCUGAUCCAGCAAUGCCGCGUGUGUGAAGAAGGCCUUCGGGUUGUAAAGCACUUUUGUCCGGAAAGAAAUCCUUGGCUCUAAUACAGUCGGGGGAUGACGGUACCGGAAGAAUAAGCACCGGCUAACUACGUGCCAGCAGCCGCGGUAAUACGUAGGGUGCAAGCGUUAAUCGGAAUUACUGGGCGUAAAGCGUGUGCAGGCGGUUUGCUAAGACCGAUGUGAAAUCCCCGGGCUCAACCUGGGAACUACAUUGGUGACUGGCAGGCUAGAGUAUGGCAGAGGGGGGUAGAAUUCCACGUGUAGCAGUGAAAUGCGUAGAGAUGUGGAGGAAUACCGAUGGCGAAGGCAGCCCCCUGGGCCAAUACUGACGCUCAUGCACGAAAGCGCGGGGAGCAAACAGGAUUAGAUACCCUGGUAGUCCACGCCCUAAACGAUGUCAACUAGUUGUUGGGGAUUCAUUUCCUUAGUAACGUAGCUAACGCGUGAAGUUGACCGCCUGGGGAGUACGGUCGCAAGAUUAAAACUCAAAUGAAUUGACGGGGUCAUAGCUGUUUCCU
rnacentral:rRNA from 1 species